rnacentral:sRNA from 1 species
GGGAUGUUUUUAAAGGGGUUGUGUAGAAGGGCAGAGACACCCGUGGAAAGUGUCACUGUUGCCCUCAAUUGCUGGAGAGCCUGGAGGCUGUCAUAAGUCCACUCAUCAAAGUAAUUGUUUGCCAGUGUUUUGAUAACAAGCAACAGAAACAGCCCUGGCUGCUGUAAGCAGCAAAGGAGAUUAUUAGAAGGAGCUUGGGCAGUGCUGGAGAAUUGACAGGAUGGCUGGAGAACAGGACUCAGAAAACAGGCAGGAACUGGGGGAGCUGGGUGGUCAGAGCCCCAGCCCUAGCCAAGGGGACAACUCAGGAAUGACCUGGUCAGGGGGCCACUGUUGCCAACACUGGAUGCCAGAUUCUGCUACUGACACCAGAAUAAAUUCGGAGCCAGUCCCUCCUCCUCUGCCCUACCAGCUCCAGAGGCAGAUCCCAAGGAGGGCUUCCGUCUGUCGAGCCCAGGUUCACGGGCCUGCCUCCCAGCCUCCAGCCCCAGGAAGAGCCCUGAGGCCUUCUCAGCUUCUGUGAUGGUGGUGGGGGUGGGCCUCUCUCCAAGACUUACACACAGGGAGAGGCUCAGGGGUUGGGCAGCCAAAAAAUGACCACAGACAUUCACCUCCAAGGUCAAAGCGAAAGUCAUGUUCUCGGUGGUUGGGUGGCCGUGGUGGCAUCUUAAGAGCAAGAAUGUGCUGAGGUUACAUAUACACUGAGUGGAGGGAGGCAGAGUGAGCCUGACCCAUACGGCCUUCAUUUAGCCUGAAUCAGGCAGGGACUUGAAGAACGAAGUGGCCUGAGCAGCCACAAUGACUCCCUAAGAGCUGAAUGACACCGCACAUCACUGGGGGUUAGUGACAGAUCUGAGAUGGUCACACCAGCCCCUGGACUUGCCAGCUGAGUUUCUUGUGUGCCCAGUGGCCAGCCCAGUGGCAGUUUCUACAAGUGUCUUUCAGUGAACCACUCACCCCCUAGCUUGUCUGCUGAGACAGGGGUCUAGAAACAAUACGCUUGUGGUGAAACGCCCAUCCAGUCACAUGGCACGGGGCUCCUGAGUUGGAGCUACACUUUGUGGUAUGCAUCUUAACACACCCAGCCCCUCACCAUUCUCCAAAGAUCUUGGCACCUCCGUGGAGUGUCAAAACUGCAGUGUGGGCCAUGGCUCAUCAGGCCGAGCGUUUUCCAGAGGCCCAGGGUGAGCCCUGAGUUUGGCCGCUAAACUGUGACUCCUGAGUUCGCAUGCUCUGUCUGGUGCUGGCUCUGUUGUCCACUGGCUUGGGAGGAUGCAUCACGAGGACUUUAAUCUCCUACUGUCAAUAGCUUUAAGGUAAAGUACAUGCAGGGUAAGCUCUCCAAAUGUCAGAGCCAGGCGCAGGCUUUGUGUUUGGUGCUGAUGCAUGGCAUUUACUCUGAAGGUUCAGGAAAGUACAUGGGCUUUGCGGGGUCUGGCUGCCCAAAUACGGGUUAAUUAGCAACAGCUGACAGCAGCAGCCCCGGCCACAGGAGAGAGGUGACCCAGACCCUUGAUAAAAAACCCUCAUGGGAGACAAAUUAUUCUGUGAAGGAAAAUAACUCAGGCUUUCCUCAUUGCCACCCUCCGCGAGAUUUUACCCCAGACCUGAGGCGGCUGUACUAACAAGACUCUGAUCUUUCUCUUUGUGUUCAAGGAUAUCCCAACUUCGUGGCGACCUAUGGCCGUGGCUACCCCGGAUUUGCUCCAAGCUAUGGCUAUCAGUUCCCAGGUGAGUGGCUUGGUCUCCCAGGGCUUUGGAAGCACAAGAGGUGGGCUGCAUUUGCGGGGAGGUGAGAGGACCCCUAAAGAGAAUGCAUUUCUUACAUGCAUCCACUUGAAAAUGACCUAUACGUGAUAAAUUUCAAAUCCACUGAAGUUCAAGGCCAGGAUGCAGCUCAGAGUUUCUGAUUAACUCAGGUAUUACUCACUGGUACCGGGUAUUUGAGAACGGCAGCUUUUAAAGGGAAAGCAGGAGAACGGAGGCAGGAGGCCUCCCUGUGCUCACCUCCUUUUUCUGAAGCCUCUUCCGGGUUUUUUCUCACUGAGGGCUGAACUCUAGGCCCAGGGCUUUCUUUCACCCUCUACCACCCCUUGCCCGCCUCCCCGCUCCCUGUGUCCACCUGCCCAAUGUUUGAUGUCUCCCCGCCCUUCCUUCCUUUCCUCCACCCCUCCUCCUCCUGCUCGGUCCUGACUGCUGUGGCUUCGGCGCCCUUCUAGGCUGUGUUGAUGUUGAGCUGCUAGGGGUUGGGGCUGCUGUCCAUCCUGGGUGGGCUGUUUAGAUUAUCCUUUCGCUCUGCGUGGGGAGAAGCAGCGAGGGGAAACAUGGUCUUGUAGGGAUGGGGUAGGGACAAUGAAGGAAGCGAUGUUUUACAGGGUAUGCUUUUCCCCAGCCUUUCUCAAAUCUGGAGUACAGAUAAGAAUAUAUUGGGGUGUUUGGGGGUCUCCAUGUGCAAAGGACAGCCGAGAUUCCAGAGGAGGUGUAGGGACAGAGUCUUGUCCCCUGUGGGUUUUCUGCUGAGGGAGGAGGCUCCCUGGGGAGCUGGGCUGCAGGCGGAGUUUCACCCCUGCCUUGUCGUCAUGCCUAGACCUGGAGGUCUGGGAGUGUCAGGGUCUGAGAUGAAUUAGGAAGCAAAGGGAGUGAAGACGCGUCGCUGGAAGAUGGCGCCCUGACACUGAUGACAGGAGGGCAGAGUGAGGGCUUGGCCUGGUCUUUGCCUCAGACCAAGCAUUGGGGCGGGAAGGGUGUAGUUGGAGAGAUGAGGAGGCAUUUGGGGGCACCUAGAGCCGUGCUCUAUGGCAGACAGAUCCUUCAACCAGCGGUGGAAGCCCCAAGCUCUUGUCCUGUCUCCGAUACCACCUGGCCAAGUGGCCAUGGGCAGGUCACUCCGCUUCUAGGGCCUUACUUCUCUCUUUUGGAAAAGGGGGUCUAUGAGGAAUGGUCUUUGGGGUCUGUGCCCCUCUCCGAUUGUGUGGGUCAGAGGGUGCAGGGAAGGCAGGCACAGAAGCAGAAGUCCAAGAUGGAGGAGUUUGAGUGCAGGUGGCUCCCCCACCAGUGUCCCCUGGGGCUGGGAUGGUUCCCCAUCUGGGAGGGGCCUCAACAAGACUCCUCGGCCCGCACUAAGGAAGCCGUCCCCAAAGAUGCCCCCCAGCAGCAGCUGCUUCAGGAUGGCCACAGGCUCCCAGACCUGAAGAAAAGAAGGGCACAUGCAAGAAGGACCACCACAAGAGAGGCCAGCACUCAACCAGCCACUGUCAUUAGACUUUCCCAUUUCCAGGCAGAGACCCCCACCAGGCACAGGCACAGAGGUAGAAACUCCUUCUGAAGGGGUCACUGUACGCAAGGGGUAGGACCUGCAUUUGGACCAGGCGGUCUGGGCCUUAACUGCCACCCUCCACCAUCUCCCUAGUGUCUAUUUUUCUGGUACAAUAACACUAGCCACAAAGAGCUACUAAAACUUAGGUUUAAAUUAAAGUUGGCUGGGUGCGGUGGCUCACGCCUGUAAUCCCAACACUUUGGGAGGCCGAGGUGGGAGGAUCACUUGAGGUCAGGAGUUCGAGACCCACCUGGCCAACAUGGUGAAACCCCGUCUCUACUAAAAAUAUAAAAAUGAGCCGGGCGUGGUGCCCGGCAUCUAUAAUCCCAGCUACUCAGGAGGCUGAGGCAAGAGAAUCACUUGAACCCAGGAGGCAGAGGUUUCAGUGAGCCGAGAUCACACCACUAUACUCCAGCCUGGAUAACAGAGUGAGACUCUGUCUCAAAAAUAAGAAGAAGAAUAAGAAGAAGUAAAAAGAAAAUUUCAGUUCCUUUAGAAACACUGGCCACAUUUCAGUGACUCAGUAACCAUGUGUGGCAAGUGGCUAUUGCCAGCACAGAAUGUAGAACAGUCACCGUGGAAAUUUAUGGGCUGGUGCUGUUCCAGUGCCUAAAGGAAGAGGGCUGUUACUGGUGGGGUGCAUGGUCCACACACUUACACAUGUGCACCACUCCUUCCUGGAGAGACCCAUGGGGUCAGUGUCCCUGUGCUUCAUUCUCUGCCAGUCUUGCUCAGCCCAGAAGCUGGUGGCUUUUCCUCUCACUUCCUCCCCUCGCUUCCCCUCCAGGGGAUGACAGGUGCAAAGGCUCACGCAUCUCGGCCCUCCAGGUGCAGCGCUGAUCUGUGCACUCAGCCUGCACAACCUGCUCCCCUCCGUAAUCAGGCUGCCAUUGCCCCUGAGUGUGAUGCUAGUCCCAGGAAGACAGAGUUGAGGGAUCUUAACAUGGAAUAAUUGGGGGAGGACAUCAAUGUGGACCUCAUGCUAAGGCCCCUGUCUCAUCAGAGGGCCUGCCCCGGGGCCCCCAUGAGCUGGCUCAGGAGACAUCUAGUAGAACUCUGCCUCCAUGGCCUGCAUCCCUGGGCCUGCCCCAGGCAGACGGACAUGCAGCAGUGACCAGAUUGAGGCUGGGCAGAGUGAGAUAGGGUCCCCUGGGUGCCCAGCCCUUCACCAAAGCCAAGACUUUGGGAACUGGGGGCGGUGGGGGGUGGGGUGGGCUGCAGGAAGGAGGAUAGAGUGGGGUUGGAGUGUUUUUGCCCAGGGCCCAUCCGUUUGUCAUGGCCACAGUCCCUGCAGCUUAAUACAAUCAGGUGGGUUUGAAUGGGACAGAAAUCAGGCAUUACAAUGUACAGAGAGCAGCUUCCUGACCUUUGGGAGUUAGCUGCCCUGUUCUCAACCAUCAAACUUUUAUUUUUCCAUCCUUCCCACCUUCCCACUCACUAUGGAAGCCUCUUGAUUCUCUUAACUAAUGGCCAGAAAGGGGCCACCAGUGGCCACAAGAGUAAGGCUGCCUGCUCUCAGGGAGGGCAAGAGUGGAGUGGCCCUGAACUGGGAAGGGUGGCCCCGUGGCUGGGGCCGCCCACCCCACUCAUCUGAGAAGCCAGGCUAGGGUCGGAGUCUAUUCCCCUCCUGACCCCCUCCCAAAGGAUAUGCUCCUUGUGGAGUUUUGUGUCUGUGCUUAUCCCAGAUGCCUCCCCAAGCAGCCAAAUGUUUCCAGACACAAAGCCUAGGUAGGUCCAUGUGUCAUUCCAGUCAAGAGCGCAGGGAGUAGCUGAGCCCCUCUAGAACCAAACUUGAUGACUCCUGGAGCCACAGCCUCAGGGCCAGGGCUACAGAGAAGCUUCGGGAUGCCCUGACUUCCAUCUGUCACCUCAUGCCAAUAAGGAAAGUUUCGGGUGGAUCUGGCCGAGGCGGCUGGGGUACAGAAGGGGGGACCCAGAGAUGGGGCAGCCCAGCCCUCUGCCCUCUCCUCAUCCCCAUCAGGUAGAUUCUGCGAACCCCUGCCAUGCCCCGGGGAUCCUGUGACUUCGUGACAUUGCACAGCAGUCAUGUCACCUCCCAACUAUCCUGAUGUUUUCUUUGUGGUCUUUCUUUUCAGUGUCCUCACUGUAUGUCCACUUUACCCACUUCCCACCUCUGGUCCCCCUCAUGCUGUGCAUGGAUCCCGAACCUCUCCCAGCCCCUUUCUGAGUCCCCCUAGCAGGGCCACGCAAGACAGCUAGCUGGGAGAAAUGAAAGUACGCCCAGGUCCUAGAGAGCUCCGAGACUCUUCAUCCUGGCUGUUCUCACUCAUAAACCAGGUAGCCUGGGUCCCCUUUCAGGAAGAUGCAAUCUGAUCCCCUUUAUGAAGGGUCCUCCUUUCCACCUGGACUUACCCUUUCUAUGAACAUCCAUCUCAUCUGGUUGGGGGUGCAGAUAUCACUCUUAGUAGAGCCUCAUUCUCACCAUGUGACAUGGGGCUGGCUGCACGGACCUUCCUGGGCCACACAGCUGGUGGCAAGUGGCACCUGGUUGUGCCCAUCUUCAGAAUUCUGUCAGAAUAAAUAUAAUGUUCCUAGAGAAGGCUAGACACUGGAUAGUUUUUAGACUGGGGAGUAGUUCUUUUCUAGAAAGGCUGGGUGGUGACCAACCACUCUGGGAACAGCUCCUUCUUCCCACAUCCAGGUGUCCAACCCAGCCUGGAAUUUGGAUCAGGAUCCCGUCUUGAAUUAUUAUGGGUUGUGAUCAGGGAUCUCCCCUGCUUCCUCUCUUUUCCCCACUCUGGACUUCUCAUUUCAGUUUAAUCUGUUAAUUUCUGUUCUUAUUUCACUUUGCAGACUAUUUGCCGGUUUCACAAGACAUAAUUUUUAUCAACUAGCUCUUAAGAGAGGCAUAGCAAAGUGGGGUUUGCUACCAUUUCUAGAGAGAGAGGACACAGUCCUGGCCUGGGCUGCCCCCGCUCCAGUCAAUGCUCACUGAAAGUCUGUCUUAGCUGCCUGUUUGAAUGACUGUUCUUUUUCUCAUUUUUAAUUCUUGGACUCAUGUCCUCAUUGCUUCAUUCAAUUAAAAAAAAAUUAUUCUCCAGUCCCCUCCCACUUUGCUUCUUGUAUGCAUUGUGACCGACCCCACUUCCUCAGAAUGUAACGGGGCCAGAGGGAAACUUCUCACAAACUUCGUAGAGCCUCCUCAGGGGAAGCUAGGAAGAAGACAUCAAAUGUUUUUAAGUCAUGACCAAACAGGCUUGUUGGGGACAUAUCAUGGGGUGAGCUUUGAAGUGCUGGUGGUCCAGAGGGGUUGCAGAUACGUGACUUGGAGCACCCGUGUCUUAACGAUGGACAGUGAUAAAGGUGAACACACAGAGACAGACUAUUCUCUAAGAAUGUGAAAAACCUGAUCUGGAAGAGGAGCUAUAUAAACACUAUCUGACUAUCUUUGUCUUUUGGGGCCAGUGGCUGUUGCCAUAAUCACAAGCCUGUCUGUCUUCGAGAAGGGACAGUGGAGUCAUCCAGGUGCUGCCACAUGACAGGCACGGUGGGCACCGAUCCACAGUGGGCCCCACCUUCCCCAGCUCGCCUCCCUGCCUGUGCUGGCCUGGCCUUGCCUGCUGGCACCAUUGGAGUAGGAGGGGGUGGAACACGGGGCCCAUCCUGAUCAGGCCCCAUCUCAAGGCUGGCACUCCUGCCCAUCACCCUUAGAAGGAUCUUUUCCCAUGGCUUGACUCCCUUCAUUUCCCUAACUGAAAUACACCCACUCUCUUGGAAUAAUGACGUACCACUCAGUUGGACCCUCAAGAGUCACUGCUUUGUCUGUGCUGGUAGUUUGUGAGAAGUGACCCGCACGCUUCCAUUUGAUGCAUUUGAUGUGAGUGAAUCCAUACAUUUGAAUGUCAUUGUCCUUGAGACCCUACAUGUGCAGUUUGGCUCAUCUCAUUAAAGAUGCUUGAUGUAAUAAUUGGUUAGUUUCCUUUUAUUUUCCUGCAGGCUUUUCCAUGAGUAUUAUUUUUUUCAAAGAACAAAUCUGUAUGGCUUUUCCCCAUCUCCAUAUUUUGUUUUGCUAUGAAUUGCUUUGCUUUGGUGAACUUGUCCUAGUAUGCUUGCCUCACAAACGUUUUAGCCAUUGUGAAUUUUCUUCAUCUCUGUAAAUAGUUCAUCUGUGCUUCUCCCUGAUGACGUUUUAUUUUUUUCCCCUGUAAGCAACCGAGGUAGAAAAAUAAAUUGUUUACCAUGGA